rnacentral:tRNA from 1 species
GCGGGUAUAGUACAUCGGUAGUACACGUCCUUCCCAAGGAUGAAAGAGGGGUUCGAUUCCCCUUACCCGCUCCA